CUGAAACCCUGAGUCAGAAUCCAGAGAAACCUCAGGAUAAAAGGGAGUCACAGACAUAGAACAAUUGGGAGUCUCAUGGGGAGAGGACGCUUUGCCUCAGACCGGACAAUUGGCACUCCCACCUGCCGUACAAACUAUUGGGACUUCCCUGGCUGAUUGUGGUGUGGAUGUUGCUACACAACGUUCCUGAGAGUAUUUAUUCUGAGACAAAAAUGCCAGUCACAUCUUUAAGACCUUACUUAACAAGGAACUAACGAGAAAACAAGUUGGAAGGUGAAGCUACAUAUUUUUUCAAAUAAACGGUCUUAAUUUUUCUCCUUAUAGAAGGUUAAAUCAAUUUAGAUAAACAUAUCUAAAGCAUUAAUUUUUGCAGCUUUUAGGUAAAGUCCAGCGCUUCAUUUAUACCAAGUGUGUGAGAAGAGGUCAGUAGAGAUUAUCUAAUCCUGAAUCAAUCGUGACAUCAUCCAUUCAAGUCCAAGACACAUUCUCUCACCUGCUGCAUUGGUUUUAAUGCAAAAAAAAAAACCCCAACCUAAAAAGGGCAAAUGGGAGAUAACAAACCUAAAUGUCCGUUGCUAUGGAAAUGGAUAAAUAAAUGUG
rnacentral:lncRNA from 1 species